UAGCGAAUGCAAAUCCAUGAUGCUAAUCUGUAAUUAAGUUUUAAGCAUGAUUAGCAAUGUUAAUUUGGAAUAAUUGCAGGCGGCGCUGCCACAGGGGAUCGUUCCUUUUGUGUUCGCGAAGGAGUACGGCGUCCACCCUGACAUUCUCAGCACGGCGGUUAUAUUUGGGAUGCUAAUUGCUCUGCCUAUAACGCUGGUAUACUACAUUCUGCUGGGCCUGUAAAGCAACAAUUUUCCAGUUCAGAGAGCGGCAAAGGGGAUUAGAAGAUGAAGGAGAUAGGCAGAGAGGAAGCAUGGCGAGCAUCAAAGCAGCAGAAUUCUCAGAAAGCAGAAGAAGAAACUGACCCGCCCGGCUCUGAAUUGGGCCCAGCUUUGUUCCCUUGGAUCGACUUCUUAUUCUGUAAAAUGCUAUAUAUAUUUUUUUCUCUCUCUCUUCCUUUCUGCUAGCUAUUGAAUCUCAGAUAUCAUUUUGUUGCUUUCAUUUGAAUUUCUUCUUAUCCUUUUGUUUUUCUUCUUGUU